rnacentral:rRNA from 1 species
UACGUAGGGUGCAAGCGUUAAUCGGAAUUACUGGGCGUAAAGCGUGCGCAGGCGGUUGUGUAAGACAGGUGUGAAAUCCCCGGGCUCAACCUGGGAACUGCAUUUGUGACUGCACGGCUCGAGUGCGGCAGAGGGGGAUGGAAUUCCGCGUGUAGCAGUGAAAUGCGUAGAUAUGCGGAGGAACACCGAUGGCGAAGGCAAUCCCCUGGGCCUGCACUGACGCUCAUGCACGAAAGCGUGGGGAGCAAACAGG